AUGCGUAUGCAGAGUUGCGGACCGGAUACAUGCGCCAUGGACGCAAGAUGGAGCUGGAACAACCGAAGAGGGCUCCACGGACAAAUCUACAAAGGAUAUCGAGGUCAAUCCCACCCGGCCAUCGGAGAUCCUAGUAGCCUCGCCACCGAAGCAGACUGCUGGAUCUCUCUGAAAGUUGUGACCAUGAUGCAGUACCUGGACUUCUCCCAGGCCAGCACCUCCAAGAAGUGGACGGCCAACAGCAGCAAGAGGCAGCCGGGCCAAGGGUUCGAUGCUCCGAGGAACAGCAUGGAGUUCGCCAUGGAGGCGCCCCACAGCUACGGCGUCUUCCAAGAGGACGUCCCGUACUCUUGCAACAGCAUGAGGCAGUACCCAAAAUCAUCCUCGGCCCCAAUCAAGAAGCUGAUCCAUGAGGACGCGUCCUUCAGGCCGAACGAAGGCCACAAGAGAGUGCCCAGCGUCAUCGCCAGGUUGAUGGGCAUGGACUCGCCGCCGAUGAACUCCGAGCUCACCACCCACCUGGAUGAUGCUAGGCAGGAGAUGGUCGUCGCGAGGCCGGUGCCGACCAAGCAUGUCUCCUUCGCGCAGCAGAAGAAUCCUGUCCGGCAUACGGCGAAACAGGAAGUUUACACCUUCGACGACGCCGGCGACGACGAGAGGGACAUUCUUGCUCAGCUGACCAAGAGGAGCAAUGGUGGUGGAGGUGGUGGUGAUGGGUGGAGCAAGCCGGUGCCGCGGGAGCACCCACAGGAGGAGGAGCUGCAGAAGUUCAAGAAGGACUUCGCGGCGUGGCAGGCCAGCAAGGUUUGGGAGCAGUCGAGGGCUCUGGAGCUGGACAGCCGGCAUAAUGUCGGCCACGACGAAGACGACAGGUGCUCGGAGAUCGUACCCUACAGGUACCACCAGAAGGAUCGCAAAGGGAGAGAUGGCAGGCACGGCAAUGACGCGCAUUCGAGAAGAAGAGGCAAGGAGGGCGGCGGCGCGUCCAUCUCCGGCAGCCGGACGUUCUCUCUGACGAGCGCGGACGACGGUUCUUCCGCGAGGCUGCCGCUCUCGAGAUUCUAUUACGAGGAGGAGGAGAAGCCGCUGUCGCCGACGAGGAUCGUGAUCCUGAAGCCCUGCCCGGAGCUGAGCGCCGACGACGUCGACGAGUCGUCGCUGGGCUCGCCGGAGCUGAUGAAGAACGAGAACAACAUGGAGGCGUUCCUGGAGGAGGUGAAGAUGCGGCUCAAGAUCGAGCUCGAAGGGCACUUGGCCCCCGACGACAGGGCGGCCGAACGGUGGCCCGACGUCCCCGCCGACCCGAAGCAGAUCGCGCGGAACAUCGCCGACCAGAUCAGGGAGAGCGUCACCAAGGAAAUGCACCACCCGGCGCUGCUACGCUCGGAGUCGACGCGGUCGUACCGCAGCAGCGACGUGCAGAGCCAGAUGGACUACAUAUGCAGAGACGCAAGGAAGCAGCUCUCCGACCGGCUGAGGAACGUGCUCAGGAGGGAGCCGGAGGCAGACCAGCCGCCGCCGUUCGGCUCUCAGCGGAGACGGCCGGCCGCCUCGACGCCGUCGUCUUCGCCGUGGGACGAAGAGCCGCGGCCGAAGCCGACGAGUCCGCGGCGCGACGUGGCGAGGAAGGGCGACAAGAAAAUCAGGAGCAAGGAGGAGAAGAAGCGCGCGAUCGAGUCAUCCGAAGUCCGGUCCUUCAGACAUGGGUGGUACAAGAACUCCGCUACGGCGGCGGUCGUCGACUCCUCCGACGACGCGGCCUCGCCGAGGAACCUGAUGAGGUCGUUCUCGGCGCCGGUGUCCGGGAACUUCGCGAAGUUCCUUUCGGAGGGGGAGCCAAAGGUGCUCGCCGGAGCGCGGGUGCAGCUGAAGCACGAGGGACAUGGGGACUACUACGGCGGGCGGCCGUCGCCGGAGGAGGAAAGGCAGCCGAAAGGGAGGAAGGAUGCGUUCGGCAUCAAGGGGAAGGUGUCCAACCUGCGGCAGAACCUCGGGCUUAGAGCGAAGCUGUUCGGCAAGAAGCUCCACUCCGCCGCCGCCGACGAGUCGUCGUCAUCGUUCUUCCUCGACGACUUCCCGCCGAUGGGCACGCUGGUCACCGCCCCCUCCGUCCUCAUCCACCCCGGCGUCCUGCAGGAGAACUCCACCGAGGUGCCGCCGAGCCCGGCGUCGUGGUGCAGCAGCCCGCCAGAUGAAUUGAUGAUCCGGGGAGGUUACCCGAGCCCCGUCUCGCCGUUGGAGGCUUCCUUCGGUGAGCACCGGUCCCCGUUGAAGCCGGCGGCGAGCUCAAGUGCUUCUGAACCAGGCAAUUCAUGCCUGGAGCAAGAUCAAGCUGAAGAAAUCCCACAAGCAAGUUCAGCAGUCCAGGACGAUGACGACGACGACACGGCCGAGAUGGAUCACCCGACAAAAGCUUUCAUCAGAGCCGUCCUCGUCGUGGCCGGCAUGUACGGCCAGAACUCCGGCGAUCACCUCUCAUUAACCUGCCAACCGAUCAAGCCGAUCCCCAAGUGGGCGUUCGAGCAAGUCAUCUGCUCGACACCACCUCCGGAAGCCGCUUCCGUCCAUGACGUCGACCACCGCCUCCUCUUCGACCUGAUAAACGAGGCGCUGCCCGGAGCCGCCCGCGGCUCGACGACACUGUGCGUGUUCAGCAAGUGGUACGCGGCGCCACCGAGAAGAGCGUCGGCGGACAAGAGGCUGCUCGACGGGCUGUGGAGAUCCGUGCAGACGUGGCUGGAGCCGCCGAGCGUCGACGACGACGCCUACUCGGUGGACGGGCUCAUCGGCCGCGACAUGGGCGUGUCCCCCUGGAGCGGCGUGUUCCGCGACGACGUCGACGGGAUAGCCGAGGAGAUGGAGGCGGAGAUCCUGUCGGAGCUGGUCGACGAGACGCUGUGGGACGUGCUGCUCAACGUAGGGGACUGA
rnacentral:rRNA from 1 species